rnacentral:rRNA from 1 species
UACGAAGGGGGCGAGCGUUGUUCGGAUUUACUGGGCGUAAAGGGCGCGUAGGCGGCCAACUAAGUCAGACGUGAAAUCCCUCGGCUUAACCGGGGAACUGCAUCCGAUACUGGAUGGCUUGAAUCCGGGAGAGGGAUGCAGAAUUCCAGGUGUAGCGGUGAAAUGCGUAGAUAUCUGGAGGAACACCGGUGGCGAAGGCGGCAUCCUGGACCAACACUGACGCUGAUGAGCGAAAGCCAGGGGAGCAAACGGG